UUUCUGAAAGGAAAUGGCAUUCUUCCUUGAACCGUCCCAUGGACUGAUGAUGCCUGCGAGUUU
rnacentral:ncRNA from 2 species